UCUUGGUGGGAGAGUCACCAUUUCACCUGUGGACUGGAUCGAUAUGUAUAAGACAUCAUCCAGCCACUUGUCCAGGGAGCACAUCCCAAUCCAGUUCCUGACCAGACAGGGAUCUGCCACUCUUUCCAGCUGGGUGACCUGGUAUAUGUUAAAAAGUUCCAGAAGGAAGGACUCACUCCUGCCUGGAAAGGACCUCAUACUGUUAUCCUCACCAUGCCAAAAGCUCUGAAAGUAGACAGCAUUCCUGCUUGGAUUCAUCACCCUCACAUCAAGAAGACCAACAAAGCCC
rnacentral:lncRNA from 10 species